CUUCUGAACUGCGCGCCAAUCCAACAGAAAUUAUCGUAUUAUCGUGGGACUUGGGAGAGUAGGGACUUUGGCACAGAGCCUUCCGGUGAAUCCAAUAGCGAUGUUUGGACGAUGCUCUUCGGUAUGCCUUCUCAUGGAGCCUUCUCAUCAUGCACGAUGGAGCAGCGAACGAUAAAGUGGACAACGCAGCGGAACAUGGAAAACGGCGACGUAGUGCUUAACGUACACGAACAUGUCAACGAGCGUAGUGAAAAAGGCUUGGCGGAAGCAAAGCAAAAAUUAAACAGUUGUAGAAAGAUUGUUGAGUUGGAAUAGUGAAUAAAUGCAACAAUUUUGUUUACAACAGCUGAA